rnacentral:rRNA from 1 species
AACGCGAAGAACCUUACCUGGAUUUGACAUGGAUCGGGAGUGCUCAGAGAUGGGUGUGCCUCUUUUGGGGUCGGCUCACAGGUGGUGCAUGGCUGUCGUCAGCUCGUGUCGUGAGAUGUUGGGUUAAGUCCCGCAACGAGCGCAACCCUUGUUCACUGUUGCCAGCACGUUAUGGUGGGGACUCAGUGGAGACCGCCGGGGUCAACUCGGAGGAAGGUGGGGAUGACGUCAAGUCAUCAUGCCCCUUAUGUCCAGGGCUUCACGCAUGCUACAAUGGCUGGUACAGAGAGUGGCGAGCCUGUGAGGGUGAGCGAAUCUCGGAAAGCCGGUCUCAGUUCGGAUUGGGGUCUGCAACUCGACCUCAUGAAAUCGGAGUCGCUAGUAAUCGCAGAUCAGCAACGCUGCGGUGAAUACGUUCCCGGGCCUUGUACACAC